GUUCGCCGGAAGACCAAGGGUUCCUGUCCAACGUUAAUCGGGGCAGGGUGAGUCGGCCCCUAAGGCGAGGCUGAAAAGCGUAGUCGAUGGGAAACAGGUUAAUAUUCCUGUACUUGGUAAAGCUGCGAUGUGGGGACGGAGUAGGUUAGGUUAGCGUGCUGUUGGAUAUGCACGUUUAAGUUGGUAGGUGGGAAGUUUAGGCAAAUCCGGACUUCUAUUAAACACUGAGAGAUGAUGACGAGGCUCUACGGAGCUGAAGUAACUGAUACCACACUUCCAGGAAAAGCCACUAAGCGACAGGCUUUACUAAACCGUACUGAAAACCGACACAGGUGGUCAGGUAGAGAAUACUCAGGCGCUUGAGAGAACUCGGGUGAAGGAACUAGGCAAAAUAGCACCGUAACUUCGGGAGAAGGUGCGCCGGCGUAGAUUGUAAGGGCUAGCCCCUGAAGGUUGAACCGGUCGAAGAUACCAGCUGGCUGCAACUGUUUAUUAAAAACACAGCACUCUGCAAACACGAAAGUGGAGGUAUAGGGUGUGAUGCCUGCCCGGUGCUGGAAGGUUAAUUGAUGGUGUAAUCGAAAGAGAAGCACCUGAUCGAAGCCCCAGUAAACGGCGGCCGUAACUAUAACGGUCCUAAGGUAGCGAAAUUCCUUGUCGGGUAAGUUCCGACCUGCACGAAUGGCAUAAUGAUGGCCAGGCUGUCUCCACCCGAGACUCAGUGAAAUUGAAAUCGCCGUGAAGAUGCGGUGUACCCGCGGCUAGACGGAAAGACCCCGUGAACCUUUACUAUAGCUUGACACUGAACAUUGAAUUUUGAUGUGUAGGAUAGGUGGGAGACUAAGAAGUAGGAACGCCAGUUUCUAUGGAGUCAUCCUUGAAAUACCACCCUUUAACGUUUGAUGUUCUAACGAAGAUUACGAAACGUGGUCUCGGACAGUGUCUGGUGGGUAGUUUGACUGGGGCGGUCUCCUCCCAAAGCGUAACGGAGGAGCACGAAGGUUUGCUAAUCACGGUCGGACAUCGUGAGGUUAGUGCAAUGGUAUAAGCAAGCUUAACUGCGAGACAGACAAGUCGAGCAGGUACGAAAGUAGGUCAUAGUGAUCCGGUGGUUCUGAAUGGAAGGGCCAUCGCUCAACGGAUAAAAGGUACUCCGGGGAUAACAGGCUGAUACCGCCCAAGAGUUCAUAUCGACGGCGGUGUUUGGCACCUCGAUGUCGGCUCAUCACAUCCUGGGGCUGAAGUAGGUCCCAAGGGUAUGGCUGUUCGCCAUUUAAAGUGGUACGCGAGCUGGGUUUAGAACGUCGUGAGACAGUUCGGUCCCUAUCUGCCGUGGGCGUAGGAGAAUUGGUUGGGGCUGCUCCUAGUACGAGAGGACCGGAGUGGACGCACCACUGGUGUUCCGGUUGUGUCGCCAGACGCAUUGCCGGGUAGCUAAGUGCGGAAGAGAUAAGUGCUGAAAGCAUCUAAGCACGAAACUUGCCAAGAGAUGAGUUCUCCCUGUCUUUAAGACAGUAAGGGUUGU
rnacentral:rRNA from 1 species